rfam:Bacteroides oleiciplenus YIT 12058 genomic scaffold supercont1.5, whole genome shotgun sequence.
AUUUCAACUAAGGGGUGCCCUAAUACGACGGGCUGAGAUCACACCCACUGACCUGAUCCGGGUAAUGCCGGCGGAGGGAAAAAGAAGAAAAGUUCC